UUCAAACUCUUAAUAAUGUUAGUAUUUUUCAUUGUAUAUCUCACUAGAAUUGAUCAGUUGACCCUUAUUAAUACUCAUGGAAGUGGAGUGCAAUUUUCUUACAACAUUCAUGAAAAAUACAGGUAUACUUGUUCGUUUUUGAAACCUAAUUCAAACCUUUUGAUCAUAUGUGCAUUUUAUUGUAUAAAUAUAUGAUUUUGGUUCUAACAAUGUUCAUUUUAGUCUUUUAUUUAAAAAUAAUCAUCAUUCAAUGAUUCAAAAAUUAUAUUCUUUUUGUUUUUCGGUCAAAGUGAAUUUGGAAGUACACAUUGAUAUAAAACACAAUCUCAUUAGUGUAUUUUAUAAUAAAUAAAAGACAAUUUUAUGGUACUUGUAAAAAAAGUGUAUCGGUAUUUUUUUAUUUUUUAACUGACAAAUGUAUUAUUUUUUUCAGGUCAGUAUCUAUAUAUUAAAUAAUUAUUAAUUUAUUUGUAUUAGUAUGUUUGUCUUUUAGUUUAAUCUCCUUAAAUUUAAUAUUUUUUUAAUUUUAAUUAAAAUUAUUAUCAAACCAUAUCUUUAGAGUCUCUUCUCUUUCUCUUGCGAAAUCGCUUUACCACUAAAAAAAGUUGUUCUUCUUCGCCGUCUUUCCAUUGUCUUUAGAAGAUUUUUCCACCGUUUUUACUACCGUGAGAAGACCCUCAUCUAUCUCACUCUCAAUUAGCUUGUGUUGUUGUUCUCUUGAUGUCGUCGACCACGACCCGUCAUCGUCGUGCUGUCGCUUUGAAAUUCGACUUUAAUUCUUAAUAAAUUUUUCAUCUUUGAUUCUUAAUGCAGAACGGAGGAGAAAGACAAUGAAGAACAUAUGAGAGAGAUGAUGAAGAACAGUGGAAGAAAUUUAGUUAUCGAAUAUUAAUUAUUUUAAAAUAGAACAAAAAUGUAAAACUUAAAAAUUGAUGAUGUUAAAUUUUAAAUAUGAUAAAACUUAAUUACUAGAUCACAUGUAAUUAAACAAUAGAUAAUUUAAUUUGUAAUAUUAAAACAUGUUAAUUUUGAAUUGUAUAGUACAAAUCUCAAAAACACAU
rnacentral:lncRNA from 1 species